AAUUUGCUGUAGUCACACUACUUUUGUGGUUGGGCUUGCAAGGCUCAUAACUAUGAUAAAAUUAUAUUCUAAGCUCUAUGAAUGUUGGUGAUAUAUCAUAUAUUAUUUCAUGCAGAGCACAUUUCACAUUUUAAUGAAGAGGCACACUCUCCAUACAUCAAGAAGUAGAAGACCAUCAUGCAUCCAGGAGAGGUACAAAGGAUUCAAAUAGUACGUGCUUUAUAUCAAGAUCAUGAUAUAUAUAUCUAU